CCUAGGGGAGGCAGCAGUGGGGAAUAUUGCACAAUGGGCGAAAGCCUGAUGCAGCAACGCCGCGUGAGUGAUGAAGGUCUUCGGAUUGUAAAGCUCUGUCUUCUGGGACGAUAAUGACGGUACCAGAGGAGGAAGCCACGGCUAACUACGUGCCAGCAGCCGCGGUAAUAGUAU
rnacentral:rRNA from 1 species